GUGUGUUGUCACGUAUAUAACACAUCUCUGCCGCAGUUUCUUUCUUUGGAUAAUGUCGGCUGAAUACGAUAAUAGAGACAAUGGCCCGGAAGGCAUGGAGCCAGAUGGGAUCAUGAGAGCAACUGGACUGAGAUCACUGACAGUUUUGAUGAGAUGAACUUGCGCGAGGCUCG